rnacentral:rRNA from 1 species
ACGGGAGGCAGCAGUGGGGAAUAUUGGGCAAUGGGCGAAAGCCUGACCCAGCAACGCCGCGUGAGGGAAGAAGGUUUUCGGAUUGUAAACCUCUGUCCUUGGUGACGAAGGAAGUGACGGUAAUCAAGGAGGAAGCCCCGGCUAACUACGUGCCAGCAGCCGCGGUAAUACGUAGGGGGCGAGCGUUGUCCGGAAUGACUGGGCGUAAAGGGCGCGUAGGCGGCUAACUAAGUUAGGAGUGAAAGUCCGCAUUUCAAGUGCGGAACUGCUUUUAAUACUGGAUAGCUUGAGUGCAGAAGAGGUAAGUGGAAUUCCCAGUGUAGCGGUGAAAUGCGUAGAGAUUGGGAAGAACACCAGUGGCGAAGGCGACUUACUGGGCUGUAACUGACGCUGAGGCGCGAAAGCGUGGGGAGCGAACAGGAUUAGAUACCCUGGUA